GCCGAACGCAAUUCGGUCAGGGGUAACCGAAUUAAGUUUCCAGUGUGCCUUGGUGUUACAAACAGAAUUAGGUUGCUGUCAACCUAAUUAGGUACCUUAGUGUUUGCAACCAAAUAGGUUCCAUUGAACCUACAGGGAACCUAAUUAGGUUUACCGUGAACAGAAUUAGUGUUUCCCUAAUCCUAAUCUCUUUAGGACAAAUGUAUAGGUCAUCUUUUAUAAAACUGUACAUGUCAUCUAUAAAACACAUAUAUGCUCUUAAUAAAUUGACAAAAUU
rnacentral:lncRNA from 1 species